UACGUAGGGAGCAAGCGUUGUUCGGAUUUACUGGGCGUAAAGGGCGCGUAGGCGGCGCGGUAAGUCACUUGUGAAACCUCUGAGCUUAACUCAGAACGGCCAAGUGAUACUGCAGUGCUAGAGUGCAGAAGGGGCAAUCGGAAUUCUUGGUGUAGCGGUGAAAUGCGUAGAUAUCAGGAGGAACACCGGUGGCGAAGGCGGCUUUCUGGACAGAAACUGACGCUGAUGCGCGAAAGCUAGGGGAGCAAACAGG
rnacentral:rRNA from 1 species